CGGUAACACACCAACCGGCAAUAAAGCCGACAAAGAAGAAACAGAAGAAGAAACGUCACAUCCGGUCCGGUGAGAACGCCGGGCGCCAAAAUCAACUUAUUUAUUUUGAUACAACAGACAUUUGUGAUGUGUACAACGGUGGGUGCUGGAGAAAUAAUCAUCCUCAGUGAUGAUGAUGAUGUUGAGGAAUGCCUUGAAGAUGACAUAUCCUGCAGUGAACCCUCAGUUCUCAUCGUGGAUGUGGAGGACAAAGACGUGAAGAAUAUUGACUGUGCUUUAUCUCCCACUGCACUGGAUGAAGACCUGGUUGUUACCUUCUCCCGCCGUGCUGAGGUGCUGCCUCACGCUCGCUAUGACUGUCCCAUAUAUCCUUUCACGGCUACAGACUGUGUCGUCGACACUCAUGUGGCCAGUAACCAACUCAUGUGUGAUCAGUGCUUCUGCUACAUCUGCGACAAGCUGGCGUCAACAUGUUCACUGUGGUGUAAGAGCAGUGUGUGUCACUGCAACAGCCACAAGAGGAGUGAGUUCUGGAGCAACCUCAGAAACAUCCAGCUGUUGGGAGAACUGAACAGUUUCAACCUCACUCUGUCUGAAAUAGAUGAUCACCUCCGACAUGCAGAGACAACGCUGCACAGCUUCAGACAAGGGCUCUCUACAGAGUUUUUUUCCUUCCUGAGGGGAAAGAUUACUCAGGAAGACGGUCCGAGUCAAACGAACCAGCGAGUCCUCGUCUACGAUUACACACCUGUGUACAAGUUUGUGUCAUCGUUCCUGGACGAAGCGGACAAACAGGGCGGCAGAGCUGCUGCCAUCAUGAGACUGGGAGCCGCUAAGGAGAUUGUUAAACAUUUUCAAAUCUCGGGCAACUGCUCCUUACUCUCUCCCAUGGCUAGUGUUGAGCAGGCUAAAGUGGCAUUAAUGCAGAGGGUAAUAACGUCCUUGCAGACACAGAUGGUGUUAGCUGGUUUUACGCUAGAGUUCACCCACAAACUUCAGGAUUUUUACAAGACAUACAUUUCCCCCGCUGCCCUGAAGGGCACGAGAGACAGCCUGUGUGUUCGUCCUUGGGAUGAUGUCCUUCUAGUGUCUGUGCUGAAGGGGCAGAACGUGUCGGGUGUCCGCAAAGACAAAGGCAAGAAGGAUGUCCUGAUUGAACACAUUACUGUAGUUCGAUUGAGAACAGAAGAACUACAGCGACAGCAGAGGUACAGAGAAUUGUGUCGCUACCUGCGAGUCGUCCAGACUUAUGGUUCCGGACCUAGCCUCCAGCAGGUACAAGACCUCAUCCCAUUCUUCAAGUGCAUGGAAGGGGACUUGAUGGCUGCUCUGCACAGUUUGUUGCCCUUAGUGAACGCCCCCGCCUCCCGCUUCACUCCACGUCUCUUCCUCUUUUAUUUACGCAUCUUUAACACAGGAACAGCGCCAAAGCUGACUGUCAGUCACACACCCGCACAGCUCUGCUAUCCUGAUGCAGUUUGGGAGCCAAUUAAAGAUGCUGUGCCACUGACGCGUACUGCGCUGGUGAGGUAUGCUCUCGGUGUUCAAAAAAGCUGCUCUGAUGUCUUCAAUGAUUCUGAGUGUUGGACCCAAUUACUCACUAUCGUCAACACACCUUGUGGGUCACUCACCGCUCUUCCAGCACCGAGCCCGCAGUUUCUACAAGAAGCGAAGGAUGUUGUGAAUUCGAUACUGCUCGACAAGCUUGGGUUAAACAUACAGAUCCCACGAUUCUUUCAGGAGGUGUACCCAGAUCAAGCAAUGUUGCUGUUGGUAACAGGGGCUUUAGGUUUGAGAAUCCUUAAUGCUGCUCUGAGUCCAGCCAUCCCUGUGCUCAAUACAUUUAAGGGUAAUGAGUGGGCUCUCGAAUGGCUGUGGGAGAGUUUGUCCUCCGGCAAAGAACGCCUCAACUCCUUCUUACUUGAAAUCGUACAGGAGCUGGAAAACACAACAGAUGAGGAUUCUUUGUUACCCUUUCUUCUUGCCAUUGUACCCUCUCUGCCUUCUUCAACAGAGACCUGGGACCACACCUACUGCAGUCCAGUGGCAGUUAAACUGUACUCCUCCCAAGUGAAGGCCCCGUCGCAGUGUCAGCUGUAAGUCCCACAACUCUCAUCGGCUGAUCCUUCCUCUGGAGGGGGAGAGAGGGAGGGAGAGGGAGAGAGAACUUUUUUUAAUGCAAAGUCUAAAUGAAGCCCUGAUCCUCUCUUGCAUUGUUAGCUCCAUUUGCACAUAAAACCAAACUCUGGGCCUGACUUCGUGCUGAUGUUCCUGGCAAACUCUCUCCUAGACUGGGUCCAGUAGUCUACAGUGAAGAACUGGAUGAGCGACAGAUGAACGUGUGUUGGACAGCGGUUCAUACAUAUACAGAAGUCAAUUUACCUGGACAGACCAGGUGUCAAUAGACGGAUGAAGAGACUUUAAACACAUCCUCAUUGUUAUACAGCACAAUAACAUUGUAGAGACACUUAAUGUUGCUACAUUCUUUAAUGACUUGAUCAGUGUUUGCUUAGUAUGCUGAUGGUCUAAACUGGAAACAAGUUUAUUUCUGCACUGUGUGGGUUUUUGUUUUAUUUUAAUUAAGCUGUGUUUAUGUUAAUCACUGUAUGGACAAUACCUCUGGAUAUCUCACGUAUUUUAAACGAAAUCAUGUGCUGGUAAAUAAAUGUGAACAUUGACAGG